UUUUAUGAAGCUGUAUUUUUUUGAACUGUAUAAAGCUGUAUUUUUCAUUAAAACCAUCGUGAAUGUGAUUGUUCUUAUAAUAUUUGCCCAAACGGAGUCUCACUUGUGUGUUACCUAUAAUUUGUGAAACUGAACUUAGUUGUCAAAUAAAAUAAGGUGGUGAUUCUAACAGUCCUUCAACACUAAGAUUAUAAACAUUAACCCACCACCAAAAUGUAAGUUAUCUCUUCGCCACCAGUAAUUCAUUUUUAAGCACCUCACCCUAUGUAAUAUACAAGAAAAGUGGAAG
rnacentral:lncRNA from 1 species